rnacentral:tRNA from 1 species
ACCUGGCUGGCUUAGUUGGUAGAGGAUGUGACUCUUGAUCUCAGGGCUGUGAGUUAGAACUCCACGUUGGGUG